rnacentral:lncRNA from 1 species
AGCAGUUUCUCUACUACCCGUCCCGAGAUUGCUUAGUGGAUAUAUGGUGUUCGGCUGCAAAGCGCGAGGUCGCGGUAUCGAAUCCCGGCCACGGCGACCGCAUUUCGAUGG